rnacentral:rRNA from 1 species
UACGGAGGAUGCGAGCGUUAUCCGGAUUUAUUGGGUUUAAAGGGUGCGUAGGCGGCUUUUUAAGUCAGCGGUGAAAUUUUGCAGCUUAACUGUAACAGUGCCGUUGAUACUGGGGAGCUAGGAUUUGGUUGCUGUGGGUGGAAUGUGUGGUGUAGCGGUGAAAUGCUUAGAGAUCACACAGAAUAUCGAUUGCGAAGGCAGCUCACAAAGCCAAGAUUGACGCUGAGGCACGAAAGUGUGGGGAGCAAACGGGAUUAGAUA